rnacentral:rRNA from 1 species
GACGAACGCUGGCGGCGUGCCUAAUACAUGCAAGUCGAGCGGACUGAAUGGGAGCUUGCUCUUGUCCGGUCAGCGGCGGACGGGUGAGUAACACGUGGGCAACCUGCCCGCAAGACCGGGAUAACUCCGGGAAACCGGAGCUAAUACCGGAUAACACCGAAGACCGCAUGGUCUUUGGUUGAAAGGCGGCGCAAGCUGCCACUUGCGGAUGGGCCCGCGGCGCAUUAGCUAGUUGGUGAGGUAACGGCUCACCAAGGCGACGAUGCGUAGCCGGCCUGAGAGGGUGACCGGCCACACUGGGACUGAGACACGGCCCAGACUCCUACGGGAGGCAGCAGUAGGGAAUCUUCCGCAAUGGGCGAAAGCCUGACGGAGCGACGCCGCGUGAGCGAAGAAGGCCUUCGGGUCGUAAAGCUCUGUUGUGAGGGACGAAGGAGCGCCGUUUGAAGAAGGCGGCGCGGUGACGGUACCUCACGAGGAAGCCCCGGCUAACUACGUG